rnacentral:lncRNA from 1 species
CCUGGCCUGGGCCCACCUUCCCUGGCUCACCUUAACCCUUGCCUGCCCACCCUGGCCCCUGGGGAUGGCGGUUGGUUUUGGAACCAGACAGCUACUGUUUCAGAUCCAUUGGCUUUGCUACAGAACCUUCCCAAACUUCCAGUUCCUCAUCUGUAAAGUGGGCAUAAGGAUGCCCGCUGCGAUUGUGCAAAAUUGUGCAAAAGGAGGUGAAGGUGCUGUGUCAUCUCAAGGAGCUGUGGGACCUGGGAGUUGUUGUUGCCAUCAUUCUGCUCUGAGCUGACUGCUCUCAGAGCCUGAGUGUCCAGCAGCACUACAGAGCUCCCUGGGAGAAGAGGAGGACGCAAAUGUCCUGUUGUGGGUUGCACUGUGUCCCCUCAAAAGACAUGCUGAAGUCCUAACCCCUUAUACCUGUGAGGGCGACCUUAUUUGGAAAUAGCAUCUUUGCAGAAGUGAUCAAGUUAAGAUGAGGUCAUAAUGGAGUAGGAUGGGCUCUUAACGCAAUAUGACUAGUGUCCUGGGAAGAGGAGAAAAGGCCUUGCCAACACUGUGAUCUUGGACUUCUGGCCUCUACAAGUGUGAGAGAACAAAUUCUGUUUUAAGCCGUCUGUUCUCUGGUACUUCCUUCCACUGCCGGAGGAAACUAGUACACGUCCUAACAGGAUGACUUCAACUCAAAGGCUGAUGAGCCCUCACCCCAAACCACGUGACCCUGAUGUACAGUGGGGAUGCCAUUUUGCUGAACAACCUUUAGCAAGUCACUCAACCCACGAUCCCCGAAACAUGGGACCAUGAUGCCGCCUCGCUGCUUGGAUGCAUGAAUUCUGUGAAGUCAUCUCCAGCCCUCCCUGCAGGUGACAACUUCCUCUUUGAGGGGACUCUUCGUAAGGUUCAAAUUCUCCCUCGCUCUCUGGCAAGUGAGUGACUUUGGGCAACUUACUUCGUCACCCUCAUCGUUUUUGCCACCUGUGAGCUGGAGACCACAGUGCAAACGCCCAUGGCCAGGAGGAUUAAACAGGGUCCUGGGUGUCAAGAGCUGAACAUCAUGGGUGUUCGCCAAGUGUCAUGGUGGGAAUUAUUAUACCAUUAAUAUUCUCCACGUGCCUGAGCUCAGGAGCAAACACAGUCCACUAAGCCCCUCACCUUAGACCAGAGCCUCUCAGAGCCUCUGUUUUCUCACCUGUUAAAUGGGUUAAUAGCGCCUGGAUGGAAAGGUUGUUGGAUCCAUUUGACGAGACAAUUAAUGAGCGUUAAGCAGAACCAACAUCUCUUCCUUCUCUCCUCACCGCCCUUCUCUGUAUCGUGAGGGUAAAGUCUAAACGUUAGUCCACAGCGUUCUGCUAAAUCUGCCUUUCAAGAUGGAAACUGCGACACACACUCACAGGCAGGCGGAGGCUGCCCCAGUCACUGCCCAGGCCCAGGCCAGGCUGCGAGGCUUCCUCUCCGUGCUCAGAAAGGAGAACUGCCACUCCUGCCUGCGCAGCAGAGAGGGCCUGCUGGGCAGGCUUUUGUUUUUCUGGAAGGGUUGUAAACACGGGAUAAUGAGGGCCUGAGAAGGAAGCUUUAAUGACU